UCAAUCCUGAAAUGUUCGUUAGGGAAUCUAUAAUUCAACCUACAAUUCGACAUCGGGAGUCCGGGUUUACCCCAGCCAAUGUCAGGCCUCCGUUUGCAGUGGAAGACAGCGGCGGGAACAGGACACCCACCUAUCAUUAGAUAGGGCGUGAAUUAUGAUCUCGACGGCAUGUCGGGAUUUUU
rnacentral:other from 1 species